UAGACUACCAGACGGAAAAUCGAUUUGAAAUUAAUUAAGGUUAUCGAUAUCCAAGUAAUCACAUUAAAACUUCUCAUCCAACAAUAGUCACAUAAAACGGUUCGUCCUCCGCCCACGAAGCUCCCAAAUCAUGACUAAUUUACCAUUUAAGAAGCUAUUGAUAAUCCUUGCGGUUCUUCUGGUAGUGAAAUAUACGGUGGCAGACUCAGCAGAAUAUGAGUACUGCAUCAAGAAAAAACGCUCAAACAAAAGGGUCGAGACAUACUGUAUCCCUUAUCAGUACUAUACGCCUUAUUAUUAUUAUCCUUAUUAUUAUUACCCCUAUCCAUAUUAUAUCUAUGGCUAAAUCCAUAAUAAAUAAUUAAAA